rnacentral:rRNA from 1 species
AUUGAACGCUGGCGGCAGGCUUAACACAUGCAAGUCGAGCGGGGAAGGGUAGCUUGCUACCUGACCUAGCGGCGGACGUGUGAGUAAUGCUUAGGCAUCUGCCUACUAGUGGGGGACAACAUUACGAAAGGAAUGCUAAUACUGCAUACGCCCGACGGGGGAAAACAGGGGAUAUAAGGACCUUGCGCUAAUAGAUGAGCCUAAGUCAGAUUAGCUAGUUGGUGGGUAAAGGCCUACCGAGGCGACGAUCUGUAGCGGGUCUGGGAGGAUGAUCCGCCACACUGGGACUGAGACACGGCCCCGACUCCUACGGGAGGCAGCAGUGGGGGAUAUUGGACGAUGGGCGAAAGCCUGAUCCAGCCAUGCCGCGUGUGUGAAGAAGGCCUUUUGGUUGUAAAGCACUUUAAGCGAGGAGGAGGCUACCGAGAUUAAUACUCUUGGAUAGUUGACGUUACUCGCAGAAUAAGCACCGGCUAACUCUGUGCCAGCCGCCGCAGUAACAC